rnacentral:rRNA from 1 species
GGUGGAGCGAUCUGUCUGGUUGAUUCCGAUAACGAACGAGACUCUACCCUACUAACUAGUCGGCGGAUCGUCUCCCGAGAAGGGCCCUCGCCCGGUAGUGUUCGGCGUCCCUUCCUUUCUUACGCCCCCUUUCGCAGUCGCUGGCGCUGCCUCGGUUCAGGCGUGUGUGGAGGAGCCCGCUUACUCAAUUUAUUGGGGGGUGGUGUCUCUUCCCGCUCGCUCCCGGGGAUUUGGUGUCGGUUGGCGGGGAGGGAUCAGCGCCUGGGGGAAGCGUCGUUCGCUCCGAGCGUCGGGCCCAGCGAGGGGCGUCCGUCGCAACAUCUUCUUAGAGGGAUCGGCGGCGUCCAGCCGCACGAGAAAGAGCAAUAACAGGUCUGUGAUGCCCUUAGAUGCUCUGGGCCGCACGCGCGCUACAAUGAAGGGAUCAGCGUGCUCUCCCCCUCCGAAAGGAGCGGGUAACCCGUUGAAACCCCUUCCCGAUUGGGAUUGGGGCUUGUAAAUAUUUCCCAUGAACGAGGAAUUCCCAGUAAGCGCGAGUCAUCAGCUCGCGUUGAUUACGUCCCUGCCCUUUGUACACACCGCCCGUCGCUACUACCGAUUGAAUGAUUCAGUGAGGGCAUCGGACUGGCGCCCUCGGUAGCCUUCGGCUCGCAAUAAAAGCUUCGUUUCGGCGUUGCUGCGGCCGCGGGCACCCCGGGCUGACGGAAAGAUGUCCGAACUUGAUCAUUUAGAGGAAGUAAAAGUCGUAACAAGGUUUCCGUAGGUGAACCUGCGGAAGGAUCAUUA